rnacentral:rRNA from 1 species
AAUCCAUAGGUUAAUGAGGCGAACCGGGGGAACUGAAACAUCUAAGUACCCCGAGGAAAAGAAAUCAACCGAGAUUCCCCCAGUAGCGGCGAGCGAACGGGGAGGAGCCCAGAGCCUGAAUCAGCAUGUGUGUUAGUGGAAGCGUCUGGAAAGGCGCGCGAUACAGGGUGACAGCCCCGUACACAAAAGCGCAUGUGCUGUGAGCUCGAUGAGUAGGGCGGGACACGUGGUAUCCUGUCUGAAUAUGGGGGGACCAUCCUCCAAGGCUAAAUACUCCUGACUGACCGAUAGUGAACCAGUACCGUGAGGGAAAGGCGAAAAGAACCCCGGCGAGGGGAGUGAAAAAGAACCUGAAACCGUGUACGUACAAGCAGUGGGAGCACCCUUUGGGGUGUGACUGCGUACCUUUUGUAUAAUGGGUCAGCGACUUAUAUUCUGUAGCAAGGUUAACCGUAUAGGGGAGCCGGAGGGAAACCGAGUCUUAAUUGGGCGUUAAGUUGCAGGGUAUAGACCCGAAACCCGGUGAUCUAGCCAUGGGCAGGUUGAAGGUUGGGUAACACUAACUGGAGGACCGAACCGACUAAUGUUGAAAAAUUAGCGGAUGACCUGUGGCUGGGGGUGAAAGGCCAAUCAAACCGGGAGAUAGCUGGUUCUCCCCGAAAGCUAUUUAGGUAGCGCCUCGUGAAUUCAUCUCCGGGGGUAGAGCACUGUUUCGGCUAGGGGGCCAUCCCGGCUUACCAACCCGAUGCAAACUGCGAAUACCGGAGAAUGUUAUCACGGGAGAC